rnacentral:rRNA from 1 species
CGGACGGGUGAGUAACGCGUGGAAAACCCUGCCGUAGUACUGGGGGAUAACACUUAGAAAUAGGUGCUAAUACCGCAUAAGCGCACAGCUUCGCAUGAAGCGGUGUGAAAAACUCUGGUGGUAUACGAUGGUUCCGCGUCUGAUUAGCUAGUUGGUGGGGUAAUGGCCUACCAAGGCAACGAUCAGUAGCCGGCCUGAGAGGGUGAACGGCCACAUUGGGACUGAGACACGGCCCAAACUCCUACGGAAGGCAGCAG